UACGUAGGGUACAAGCAUUAAUCGGAAUUAUUGGGCGUAAAGGGCGCGUAGGCGGAAAUGUAAGUCAGGUGUGAAAUACCAAAGCUCAACUUUGGUGCUGCAUUUGAAACUACAUUUCUAGAGGACUGACGGAGAAAGUGGAAUUCCACGUGUAGCGGUGAAAUGCGUAGAUACGUGGAGGAACACCGGUGGCGAAAGCGACUUUCUAGUUUUUUCCUGACGCUGAGGCGCGAGAGCAAGGGGAGCAAACAGG
rnacentral:rRNA from 1 species